GAUGAAGAACGUAGCGAAAUGCGAUACUUGGGGUGAAUUGCAGAAUCCCGUGAACCAUCGAGUCUUUGAACGCAAGUUGCGCCCGAAGCCAUUAGGCCGAGGGCACGCCUGCCUGGGCGUCACACGUCGUUGCCCCCCCAUCUACUCCUUCGGGAUUGCGGGGGGCGGAUGAUGGCCUCCCGUGCGCCUCGUCGCGCGGUUGGCAUAAAUGCCAAGUCCUCGGCGACGCACGCCACGACAAUCGGUGGUUGCGAAACCUCGGUUGCCCGUCGUGUGCGGUCGUCGCGCAUCGAGGGCUCGAAAAAAUUGUCGGGCUCCGGCUCGGCUUUCAACGCGACCCCAGGUCAGGCGGGGUUACCCGCUGAAUUUAAGCAUAUCAAUAAGCGGAGGA
rnacentral:misc_RNA from 1 species